rnacentral:rRNA from 1 species
AGUGAACGCUGGCGGUAGGCCUAACACAUGCAAGUCGAACGGCAGCACAGUAAUAGCUUGUUCUUACGGGUGCCGAGGGGCGGACAGGUGCGGAAUACAUCGGUAUCUACGUUGUCUUAGGUGCUGACGCGGGGACACAUACGCUAUUCGCGCAUACGACCUACGUGUGGAAGCAGCGGAUCUCCGGACCUUAGAUGAGCCAAUGAGCCCAUGUCGGAUUAGCUGGGUGGCGGGGUAACGGCCCACCAAGGCGACGCUCCGUAGCUGGGCUGAGAGGAUGAUCAGCCACACUGGAACUGAGACACGGUCCAGACUCCUACGGGAGGCAGCAGUGGGGAAUAUUGGACAAUGGGCGCAAGCCUGAUCCAGCCAUGCCGCGUGGGUGAAGAAGGCCUUCGGGUUGUAAAGCCCUUUUGUUGGGAAAGAAAAGCAGCAAGUUAAUACCUCGCUGUUCUGACGGUACCAAAAGAAUAAGCACCGGCUAACUUCGUG